rnacentral:lncRNA from 1 species
AGGGUGAGGGAGGGGGUGGGAUGGGUGGGGGGUAACGGGGGAAACUGGGGAAGUGGGGAACCGAGGGGCAACCAGGGGAAGAUGGGGUGCUGGAGGAGAGCUUGUGGGAGCCAAGGAGCACCUUGGACAUCUGGAGUCUGGCAGGGUUUGAUCCCAGGGCCUGGGCAACGGAGGUGUAGCUGGCAGCAGCGGGCAGGUGAGGACCCCAUCUGCCGGGCAGGUGAGUCCCUUCCCUCCCCAGGCCUCGCUUCCCCAGCCUUCUGAAAGAAGGAGGUUUAGGGGAUCGAGGGCUGGCGGGGAGAAGCAGACACCCUCCCAGCAGAGGGGCAGGAUGGGGGCAGGAGAGUUAGCAAAGGUGACAUCUUCUCGGGGGGAGCCGAGACUGCGCAAGGCUGGGGGGUUAUGGGCCCGUUCCAGGCAGAAAGAGCAAGAGGGCAGGGAGGGAGCACAGGGGUGGCCAGCGUAGGGUCCAGCACGUGGGGUGGUACCCCAGGCCUGGGUCAGACAGGGACAUGGCAGGGGACACAGGACAGAGGGGUCCCCAGCUGCCACCUCACCCACCGCAAUUCAUUUAGUAGCAGGCACAGGGGCAGCUCCGGCACGGCUUUCUCAGGCCUAUGCCGGAGCCUCGAGGGCUGGAGAGCGGGAAGACAGGCAGUGCUCGGGGAGUUGCAGCAGGACGUCACCAGGAGGGCGAAGCGGCCACGGGAGGGGGGCCCCGGGACAUUGCGCAGCAAGGAGGCUGCAGGGGCUCGGCCUGCGGGCGCCGGUCCCACGAGGCACUGCGGCCCAGGGUCUGGUGCGGAGAGGGCCCACAGUGGACUUGGUGACGCUGUAUGCCCUCACCGCUCAGCCCCUGGGGCUGGCUUGGCAGACAGUACAGCAUCCAGGGGAGUCAAGGGCAUGGGGCGAGACCAGACUAGGCGAGGCGGGCGGGGCGGAGUGAAUGAGCUCUCAGGAGGGAGGAUGGUGCAGGCAGGGGUGAGGAGCGCAGCGGGCGGCGAGCGGGAGGCACUGGCCUCCAGAGCCCGUGGCCAAGGCGGGCCUCGCGGGCGGCGACGGAGCCGGGAUCGGUGCCUCAGCGUUCGGGCUGGAGACGAGGCCAGGUCUCCAGCUGGGGUGGACGUGCCCACCAGCUGCCGAAGGCCAAGACGCCAGGUCCGGUGGACGUGACAAGCAGGACAUGACAUGGUCCGGUGUGACGGCGAGGACAGAGGAGGCGCGUCCGGCCUUCCUGAACACCUUAGGCUGGUGGGGCUGCGGCAAGAAGCGGGUCUGUUUCUUUACUUCCUCCACGGAGUCGGCACACUAUGGCUGCCCUCUGGGCUCCCAGAACCCACAACAUGAAAGAAAUGGUGCUACCCAGCUCAAGCCUGGGCCUUUGAAUCCGGACACAAAACCCUCUAGCUUGGAAAUGAAUAUGCUGCACUUUACAACCACUGCACUACCUGACUCAGGAAUCGGCUCUGGAAGGUGAAGCUAGAGGAACCAGACCUCAUCAGCCCAACAUCAAAGACACCAUCGGAACAGCAGCGCCCGCAGCACCCACCCCGCACCGGCGACUCCAUCUUCAUGGCCACCCCCUGCGGCGGACGGUUGACCACCAGCCACCACAUCAUCCCAGAGCUGAGCUCCUCCAGCGGGAUGACGCCGUCCCCACCACCUCCCUCUUCUUCUUUUUCAUCCUUCUGUCUCUUUGUUUCUGAGCUUUCCUGUCUUUCCUUUUUUCUGAGAGAUUCAAAGCCUCCACGACUCUGUUUCCCCCGUCCCUUCUGAAUUUAAUUUGCACUAAGUCAUUUGCACUGGUUGGAGUUGUGGAGACGGCCUUGAGUCUCAGUACGAGUGUGCGUGAGUGUGAGCCACCUUGGCAAGUGCCUGUGCAGGGCCCGGCCGCCCUCCAUCUGGGCCGGGUGACUGGGCGCCGGCUGUGUGCCCGAGGCCUCACCCUGCCCUCGCCUAGUCUGGAAGCUCCGACCGACAUCACGGAGCAGCCUUCAAGCAUUCCAUUACGCCCCAUCUCGCUCUGUGCCCCUCCCCACCAGGGCUUCAGCAGGAGCCCUGGACUCAUCAUCAAUAAACACUGUUACAGC